rnacentral:lncRNA from 1 species
UAGGUGUUUCUUUAAUAUGAAGAGAGCUCAAAAAAGAGAAAUUGAAGAUCGAACUCCCAUCCGAGAGCAAAGUACAAGAAAUCCUAUAAUGUAUCUAAAGGAGUUUGGAGAUACAGCACACAAAGUAAUCCCACAGAAUCUAAAAAUCUCAAAGAUGAAGAAAAAAAGAAAAAAUCUAAGACCUACCCAAAGAUUUUGUUUAUACACCAC